rnacentral:rRNA from 1 species
AUUGAACGCUGGCGGCAGGCCUAACACAUGCAAGUCGAGCGGAUGACGGGAGCUUGCUCCUUGAUUCAGCGGCGGACGGGUGAGCAAUGCCUAGGAAUCUGCCUGGUAGUGGGGGACAACGUUUCGAAAGGAACGCUAAUACCGCAUACGUCCUACGGGAGAAAGCAGGGGACCUUCGGGCCUUGCGCUAUCAGAUGAGCCUAGGUCGGAUUAGCCAGUAGGUGAGGUAAUGGCUCACCUAGGCGACGAUCCGUAACUGGCCUGAGAGGAUGAUCAGUCACACUGGAACUGAGACACGGUCCAGACUCCUACGGGAGGCAGCAGUGGGGAAUAUUGGACAAUGGGCGAAAGCCUGAUCCAGCCAUGCCGCGUGUGUGAAGAAGGUCCUCGGAUUGUAAAGCACUUUAAGUUGGGAGGAAGGGCAGUAAGCUAAUACCUUGCUGUUUUGACGUUACCGACAGAAUAAGCACCGGCUAACUCUGUGCCAGCCGCCGCAGUAAGAC